UUGAACGCUGGCGGCAUGCUUUACACAUGCAAGUCGAACGGCAGCGCGGGCUUCGGCCUGGCGGCGAGUGGCGAACGGGUGAGUAAUGCAUCGGAACGUGCCCAGUAGUGGGGGAUAGCCCGGCGAAAGCCGGAUUAAUACCGCAUACGACCUGAGGGUGAAAGCGGGGGACCGAAAGGCCUCGCGCUAUUGGAGCGGCCGAUGUCGGAUUAGCUAGUUGGUGGGGUAAAGGCUUACCAAGGCGACGAUCCGUAGCUGGUCUGAGAGGACGACCAGCCACACUGGGACUGAGACACGGCCCAGACUCCUACGGGAGGCAGCAGUGGGGAAUUUUGGACAAUGGGGGCAACCCUGAUCCAGCCAGGCCGCGUGCGGGAAGAAGGCCUUCGGGGUGUAAACCGCUUUUGUUCGGGAAGAAAUCCUCUGGGCUAAUACCCCGGGGGGAUGACGGUACCGGAAGAAUAAGCACCGGCUAACUACGUG
rnacentral:rRNA from 1 species